rnacentral:rRNA from 1 species
CCUACGGGAGGCAGCAGUGAGGAAUAUUGGUCAAUGGGCGCGAGCCUGAACCAGCCAAGUAGCGUGAAGGAUGACUGCCCUACGGGUUGUAAACUUCUUUUGUCGGGGAGCAAAGCGAGUCACGUGUGACUCAUUGAGAGUACCCGAAGAAAAAGCAUCGGCUAACUCCGUGCCAGCAGCCGCGGUAAUACGGAGGAUGCGAGCGUUAUCCGGAUUUAUUGGGUUUAAAGGGUGCGCAGGCGGAGGUGCAAGUCAGCGGUCAAAUUGCGGGGCUCAACCCCGUACUGCCGUUGAAACUGCAUGCCUUGAGUGCGCGAGAAGUAUGCGGAAUGCGUGGUGUAGCGGUGAAAUGCAUAGAUAUCACGAAGAACUCCGAUUGCGAAGGCAGCAUACCGGCGCGCAACUGACGCUGAUGCACGAAAGCGUGGGUAGCGAACAGGAUUAGAUACCCGUGUAGUC